rnacentral:rRNA from 1 species
ACUACGGGAGGCUGCAGUGGGGGAUAUUGCACAAUGGGGGGAACCCUGAUGCAGCGACGCCGCGUGGGUGAAGAAGCGCCUCGGCGCGUAAAGCCCUGUCAGCAGGGAAGAAAAUGACGGUACCUGAAGAAGAAGCCCCGUCUAACUACGUGCCAGCAGCCGCGGUAAUACGUAGGGGGCAAGCGUUAUCCGGAUUUACUGGGUGUAAAGGGGGCGCAGACGGCGAUGCAAGCCAGGGGUGAAAGCCCGGGGCCCAACCCCGGGACUGCUCUUGGAACUGCGUGGCUGGAGUGCAGGAGGGGCAGGCGGAAUUCCUGGGGUAGCGGUGAAAUGCGUAGAUAUCAGGAGGAACACCGGUGGCGAAGGCGGCCUGCUGGACUGCAACUGACGUUGAGGCCCGAAAGCGUGGGGAGCAAACAGGAUUAGAUACCCCUGUAGUC